ensembl:miRNA
AAAAAGUUCAUUAGGGUUUUUCUGUGAGAUGGGAUGGAAAAAACCGAGUGGACUUUUUG